UUKGAKAAGUUUGAUCCUGGCUCAGAACGAACGCUGGCGGCAGGCUUAACACAUGCAAGUCGAGCGCCCCGCAAGGGGAGCGGCAGACGGGUGAGUAACGCGUGGGAACGUACCAUUUGCUACGGAAUAACUCAGGGAAACUGUGCUAAUACCGUAUGUGCCCUUCGGGGGAAAGAUUUAUCGGCAAAUGAUCGGCCCGCGUUGGAUUAGCUAGUUGGUGGGGUAAAGGCUCACCAAGGCGACGAUCCAUAGCUGGUCUGAGAGGAUGAUCAGCCACACUGGGACUGAGACACGGCCCAGACUCCUACGGGAGGCAGCAGUGGGGAAUAUUGGACAAUGGGCGCAAGCCUGAUCCAGCCAUGCCGCGUGAGUGAUGAAGGCCYAGGGUUGUAAAGCYUUCACCGGUGAAGAUAAGACGGUAACSGRAAGAAGCGGUYGCUGACCACACAUGGGWAGGAKACAC
rnacentral:rRNA from 1 species